AAAUAGUAUACAACGGAAUCAUCCUUUUAUCCCCGAGAUAAUCUGCUCUUUCAAGUUCACUGAACAUGCCAUCGCAGUAAAGUGAACGACAAAUCAAUAGCUCUUAUGUGACAGCCUCUGGAGCAGAGUUGCAAUAUGGUGUGUGCAAGCAAACCAACUUGGUGCACGUUAAGCAGAGAGUAGCAAAACAAACUCCGAUUGCAAGCCCAGAACUGCCUUUUGGUGUAUCCAAACUCAGUGCUCUUUGGAUUAUCCUUCCAAAGCUUGGAAGUAAUCCCCCACACGCUAAAACCAUUAUAUGAUCCAGACCGCUGUAGUCAAUUCCUGCAAGUAUUGCUCCAAUGGCAGACAUUGGACCCAUAAAGCCUAUUAAAGCUGCUGCUGCCAGAGCAUUGUGCCAGCUGUCAGUAGCACCGAAGAUGCAGCUAGCCACAGCAGCACCACGGGGAAGUCCAUGUAAAGAGACGGGAAGGACCAUGUGCCUACCCAGUCCAUAAGCUUUUGGUGCAGCCACUCCUAGUGCAAGUCCUUCUGCCAAUGCAUGGAAGGCAACUGCUCCACAUGAAAGGAAUGAUUGAAGGGUGUGAACACUCAUGGCAAAGCCAGUUAUCGUGGGUAAAUUAUUUGCUGAUGCCCUUUUGCGACCUGCAAGAGUCAAAAUGCUGGAGCUACAGACAUGGACAAAUAAUGCACCUGCAGCAAGCAAAAACAGAAUAGGGAUGACCCCCAUCUUUGAAGACACAAGUAGCUGUAAUGGUCGCCAUGCACCAAGUACAAAGGCGAUGCCAGAUGCUACACCCAUAAGAAGGGCAUGCUGAAGAUGGAAUGCAAGAGCAAAUGCAACAAGAAUGAUGCCACCAAGCAAUGGCCCAAGGCCAAAAAGCAGUGAAACAAAGAAUCCUGAAGCAUCCUCCGCAUUGUAGUCAUGGGUGAAAUUCUGGAACAUGGUGCUUAAAGCUUCCAUAAAUGCGACAGAAAUUGUAGCUGCUGAUGCCACCUGUGAAGGAGAGGCUUCCUUGAAAGCAUCAGGAAGCACUUCAGCAACAACCAUCCAGAUCAUACAUCCAGCAGCAAAGCCAGUACAGAAAGGCAGGAACUUGUUAAAUGCAUCAGCACAUAUGAAUGAAGGAACUGCUACAAUGGGCUGAGGCAAAGAUGUAAUUACACUCCAUAACAUUGCAUUUUGUGGAGAAACACCUCUUGAUGCAAGAACCAUACUCACAGCUAAUCCCUCUGGUAUGUUAUGCACAGCAAUGGCUAAAGUUACCAAAAGGCCUUGAGAGAAACCUUUUGAGCCAGCAAAGGAGACUCCAACACCUGAGCCCUCUCCAAAUGAAUGAAGAGUCAUAAUUCCGAUAACAAGAACAACUUUGGUUGCAUCUGCACCUUUUAUGUCCAACAUACUUACUUCACCGUAUUGUUCAAGAAACUGGAACCCAGAAACGAAGUACAGCACAAUGAGGUCCAAAUUAACAAGGUAAAUAUCAUUGUCAAUUCAUUACAUUACAGAUGAAUUUGUGUUAAUUCUAUGAAUAUGGGGAAAAAUAAUUAAACAUGUCUGUCUAGUAAUAAAAAAAAAAAAAGGCAAAUGUUUCUGAUCCAUAGGGCAAUACAAACUAAAAGCCAAGAAGCACAAGAUGAAUUUCAGCUGAGAACGUAGUAGAUUUAAUAAUUGAAUGUGACACUCCAAGUGGUUACCUUCUUGCAUAGCAAAAUGAAAAUACCACCAGAUAAAAUCCCGAUCACAACCCAAUUACCAGCACCAUGGCUCUGCCCUUCUUGUAUGAGGUCAAAGCUAGCAGCCAACAUCACACCAGCAGCCAUUCCAUUGCAUAAUCCAGCCCACUGAGGAUCCAGCUCUACAAAAAAGAAUGGGACUGCACCUAAACCAGUGGCAGCAGCCAUGGCCAAGGUAAAUAAAGCAACUGUAGAUAUUGAAACUCUGUCAUAAUUGCCCUUCCUAUCACCCAGUUCGCUACUUGUGCUCUCAAAAUCAAUGGCACUCUCUGUACCAGUGCCAUCUAUGACAUUGUUCCCUACAUUUUUAUGUGGUGCGGAUCUUAACCUUUCUGAAGUUUCAAUUGCAGAUUGUGCCAGAAUGCAACCAGAAAACAAUAAGGAGAACAGAAAAAAUAACAAAGCUUUUUUAAAUAUGAACCGCAUUGUUCUUUGCGUGCACCACCAAAACAUUUGCUUCUUUAUAUAGGAUUUCUCAUGUCAAUUAGGCAGCUUUACUGCAAAAGCUCCACUGCAGAUAAAUCUCGGAGGGUAAAAUAUCAGGAGACGCAAAUCUGUUGCCUGAAAUAUGCCAGGAUGAAUAUUUGCUGCAGUUCAAAGUUGAAUAAAUAAAAUUAGUUCAAUAAUGUUUUGGAUAGUCAUAUUACUAAUCCAAUUAUAACAUGAAAUGAAUUCAGACAGUUCCCAUCCGGGAAUCCUGUAUUCAUCUACAACACCACAAGCCUAAAGUCAUUACCAAUCAAUUAGCUAACUCUGAACUGAGAUGACUAUUUUAAGAACAAAUUGAAUCUAACAAAACCCAAAAUUUUCUCGGAAGCAAAUUACACUAGCAGUCAACUAUACAACAGACCAACCACUGUCAUGGGUUCCUCACUUAAAUUCAGAUUGUAAAUGAAUUUUAAGUGACAUAUACCUAAAUGUGAUACGAUCUUCCCAGCAAAGCAAUAACGAGAGGUUUGAUUUCUGCAAAAUUCAUAAACAUAAAUCGCAAAACUCCAGAUUUUCUUUUUUUUUUCCUAGGAUUUCGCAGCAAUCAAAUAAAAAAAAUAUAAUAAUAAUAAU
rnacentral:misc_RNA from 1 species